rnacentral:tRNA from 1 species
UAUCGUAUGGUCUAGUGGUUAGGUCAGCCGGCUGUUAGUUGGAGGAUCCAGCUUCGACUCCUGGUGCGAUAG